rnacentral:rRNA from 1 species
UUCUUUAAGACAUUAUUUAAAGUAAAACCUGCUCCAUGAAAAUAAAUAGCCGCAGUUAUACUGUGCUAAGGUAGCAUAAUCAUUAGCUUUAUAAUUGAAAGAUAGAAUGAAUGGUUAAAUGCGGUAUAAAAUGUUUCUAUAAUAAAUAAUUAACUUUUAAAAAAAGUAAAAAUACUUUUAAAUUAAAGAAAGACGAUAAGACCCUAAUAAACUUAAUAUUUAGCUGGGGCGGCAAAUAAAAUAAACCUUAAUUACAAUAAAAUAAAGUAUCUAAUAAAAUUAAAUAAAAUUAGUUACUAUAGGGAUAACAGCGCAAUCUUUUUUAAAAGCUCUUAUAAAAAAAAAGAAUUACGACCUCGAUGUUGAAUUAAUAUUCUUUAUUAAACGCAACAGUUAUAAAAGAUGGUCUGUUCGACCAUUAAAAAAUU